GGUUAAGCGACUAAGCGUACACGGUGGAUGCCCUGGCAGUCAGAGGCGAUGAAGGACGUGCUAAUCUGCGAUAAGCGUCGGUAAGGUGAUAUGAACCGUUAUAACCGGCGAUUUCCGAAUGGGGAAACCCAGUGUGUUUCGACACACUAUCAUUAACUGAAUCCAUAGGUUAAUGAGGCGAACCGGGGGAACUGAAACAUCUAAGUACCCCGAGGAAAAGAAAUCAACCGAGAUUCCCCCAGUAGCGGCGAGCGAACGGGGAGGAGCCCAGAGCCUGAAUCAGUGUGUGUGUUAGUGGAAGCGUCUGGAAAGGCGCGCGAUACAGGGUGACAGCCCCGUACACAAAAAUGCACAUAUUGUGAGCUCGAUGAGUAGGGCGGGACACGUGGUAUCCUGUCUGAAUAUGGGGGGACCAUCCUCCAAGGCUAAAUACUCCUGACUGACCGAUAGUGAACCAGUACCGUGAGGGAAAGGCGAAAAGAACCCCGGCGAGGGGAGUGAAAAAGAACCUGAAACCGUGUACGUACAAGCAGUGGGAGCACGCUUAGGCGUGUGACUGCGUACCUUUUGUAUAAUGGGUCAGCGACUUAUAUUCUGUAGCAAGGUUAACCGAAUAGGGGAGCCGAAGGGAAACCGAGUCUUAACUGGGCGUUAAGUUGCAGGGUAUAGACCCGAAACCCGGUGAUCUAGCCAUGGGCAGGUUGAAGGUUGGGUAACACUAACUGGAGGACCGAACCGACUAAUGUUGAAAAAUUAGCGGAUGACUUGUGGCUGGGGGUGAAAGGCCAAUCAAACCGGGAGAUAGCUGGUUCUCCCCGAAAGCUAUUUAGGUAGCGCCUCGUGAACUCAUCUCCGGGGGUAGAGCACUGUUUCGGCAAGGGGGUCAUCCCGACUUACCAACCCGAUGCAAACUGCGAAUACCGGAGAAUGUUAUCACGGGAGACACACGGCGGGUGCUAACGUCCGUCGUGAAGAGGGAAACAACCCAGACCGCCAGCUAAGGUCCCAAAGUCAUGGUUAAGUGGGAAACGAUGUGGGAAGGCCCAGACAGCCAGGAUGUUGGCUUAGAAGCAGCCAUCAUUUAAAGAAAGCGUAAUAGCUCACUGGUCGAGUCGGCCUGCGCGGAAGAUGUAACGGGGCUAAACCAUGCACCGAAGCUGCGGCAGCGACGCUUAUGCGUUGUUGGGUAGGGGAGCGUUCUGUAAGCCUGUGAAGGUGUGCUGUGAGGCAUGCUGGAGGUAUCAGAAGUGCGAAUGCUGACAUAAGUAACGAUAAAGCGGGUGAAAAGCCCGCUCGCCGGAAGACCAAGGGUUCCUGUCCAACGUUAAUCGGGGCAGGGUGAGUCGACCCCUAAGGCGAGGCCGAAAGGCGUAGUCGAUGGGAAACAGGUUAAUAUUCCUGUACUUGGUGUUACUGCGAAGGGGGGACGGAGAAGGCUAUGUUAGCCGGGCGACGGUUGUCCCGGUUUAAGCGUGUAGGCUGGUUUUCCAGGCAAAUCCGGAAAAUCAAGGCUGAGGCGUGAUGACGAGGCACUACGGUGCUGAAGCAACAAAUGCCCUGCUUCCAGGAAAAGCCUCUAAGCAUCAGGUAACAUCAAAUCGUACCCCAAACCGACACAGGUGGUCAGGUAGAGAAUACCAAGGCGCUUGAGAGAACUCGGGUGAAGGAACUAGGCAAAAUGGUGCCGUAACUUCGGGAGAAGGCACGCUGAUAUGUAGGUGAAGUCCCUCGCGGAUGGAGCUGAAAUCAGUCGAAGAUACCAGCUGGCUGCAACUGUUUAUUAAAAACACAGCACUGUGCAAACACGAAAGUGGACGUAUACGGUGUGACGCCUGCCCGGUGCCGGAAGGUUAAUUGAUGGGGUUAGCCGCAAGGCGAAGCUCUUGAUCGAAGCCCCGGUAAACGGCGGCCGUAACUAUAACGGUCCUAAGGUAGCGAAAUUCCUUGUCGGGUAAGUUCCGACCUGCACGAAUGGCGUAAUGAUGGCCAGGCUGUCUCCACCCGAGACUCAGUGAAAUUGAACUCGCUGUGAAGAUGCAGUGUACCCGCGGCAAGACGGAAAGACCCCGUGAACCUUUACUAUAGCUUGACACUGAACAUUGAGCCUUGAUGUGUAGGAUAGGUGGGAGGCUUUGAAGUGUGGACGCCAGUCUGCAUGGAGCCGACCUUGAAAUACCACCCUUUAAUGUUUGAUGUUCUAACGUUGACCCGUAAUCCGGGUUGCGGACAGUGUCUGGUGGGUAGUUUGACUGGGGCGGUCUCCUCCUAAAGAGUAACGGAGGAGCACGAAGGUUGGCUAAUCCUGGUCGGACAUCAGGAGGUUAGUGCAAUGGCAUAAGCCAGCUUGACUGCGAGCGUGACGGCGCGAGCAGGUGCGAAAGCAGGUCAUAGUGAUCCGGUGGUUCUGAAUGGAAGGGCCAUCGCUCAACGGAUAAAAGGUACUCCGGGGAUAACAGGCUGAUACCGCCCAAGAGUUCAUAUCGACGGCGGUGUUUGGCACCUCGAUGUCGGCUCAUCACAUCCUGGGGCUGAAGUAGGUCCCAAGGGUAUGGCUGUUCGCCAUUUAAAGUGGUACGCGAGCUGGGUUUAGAACGUCGUGAGACAGUUCGGUCCCUAUCUGCCGUGGGCGCUGGAGAACUGAGGGGGGCUGCUCCUAGUACGAGAGGACCGGAGUGGACGCAUCACUGGUGUUCGGGUUGUCAUGCCAAUGGCACUGCCCGGUAGCUAAAUGCGGAAGAGAUAAGUGCUGAAAGCAUCUAAGCACGAAACUUGCCCCGAGAUGAGUUCUCCCUGACUCCUUGAGAGUCCUGAAGGAACGUUGAAGACGACGACGUUGAUAGGCCGGGUGUGUAAGCGCAGCGAUGCGUUGAGCUAACCGGUACUAAUGAACCGUGAGGCUUAACCUU
rnacentral:rRNA from 1 species